rnacentral:rRNA from 1 species
CCGGCACGGGUGAGUAACACGUAUCCAACCUGCCGUCUACUCUUGGCCAGCCUUCUGAAAGGAAGAUUAAUCCAGGAUGGCAUCAUGAGUUCACAUGUCCGCAUGAUUAAAGGUAUUUUCCGGUAGACGAUGGGGAUGCGUUCCAUUAGAUAGUAGGCGGGGUAACGGCCCACCUAGUCAACGAUGGAUAGGGGUUCUGAGAGGAAGGCCCCCCACAUUGGAACUGAGACACGGUCCAA